rnacentral:rRNA from 1 species
AGUGAACGCUGGCGGUAGGCCUAACACAUGCCAGUCGAACGGCAGCACAGUAAGAGCUUGCUCUUACGGGUGGCGAGUGGCGGACGGGUGAGGAAUACAUCGGAAUCUACUUUUUCGUGGGGGAUAACGUAGGGAAACUUACGCUAAUACCGCAUACGACCUACGGGUGAAAGCAGGGGAUCUUCGGACCUUGCGCGAUUGAAUGAGCCGAUGUCGGAUUAGCUAGUUGGCGGGGUAAAGGCCCACCAAGGCGACGAUCCGUAGUUGGUCUGAGAGGAUGAUCAGCCACACUGGAACUGAGACACGGUCCAGACUCCUACGGGAGGCAGCAGUGGGGAAUAUUGGACAAUGGGCGCAAGCCUGAUCCAGCCAUACCGCGUGGGUGAAGAAGGCCUUCGGGUUGUAAAGCCCUUUUGUUGGGAAAGAAAAGCAGCAGGUUAAUACCCCGCUGUUCUGACGGUACCCAAAGAAUAAGCACCGGCUAACUUCGUG